AAGAGAAAGAGAAAGAGAGAGAGAGAAAAAAAAAAAGAAGAGAAAAAGUUUCCCCCUUCUCUUCUUCUCUCUCUCCCCUCACUCUCCCUUCC